UAAAGGUUAGUUUAACUUAAAAUAAUAGCCUGUGGAGCUUUAGAUAAUUAUAAUAUUACCUUUAC
rnacentral:tRNA from 1 species